CAUCGAGAUUAAAGAAGACAUCUCCACCGAAAGGACGUCCAUCAAUCUUCCGCUGGCGUCUGUUUCAGACAGUCCUGCUAAGGGAAGGAUAGCUUUUAUUUUGUAUGCAACGGAUGAGCUGUUUAAAUCGAACCAUCUUACUUUAGCCAACAACACCAAAUACCACUUGGUCAAACCAAUCAUGUCGGUGUCCAUACCAGACUCUCGUAUCGACCUGCUGGAGGAGAAAGUCUUGAUAACAUUGUUACAUGCAGAUAAAGGUACACACCAGCCCUGCUGUGUGUACUGGAAGGUACCAAAAAACGGACACCUGGGUGAAUGGUCAAGUGAUGGCUGUGAGCUGGUCUCGUCAUCAGAGAACAAGACCGUCUGCG